rnacentral:rRNA from 1 species
CACGUAGGGCGCAAGCGUUGUCCGGAAUUAUUGGGCGUAAAGAGCUCGUAGGCGGUCUGUUGCGUCUGCUGUGAAAACUCGGGGCUUAACCCCGAGCCUGCAGUGGAUACGGGCAGACUAGAGGUAGGUAGGGGAGAAUGGAAUUCCCGGUGUAGCGGUGAAAUGCGCAGAUAUCGGGAGGAACACCGGUGGCGAAGGCGGUUCUCUGGGCCGAUACUGACGCUGAGGAGCGAAAGCGUGGGGAGCAAACAGG